UACGUAUGGAGCGAGCGUUGUCCGGAAUUAUUGGGCGUAAAGGGUACGCAGGCGGUUUAAUAAGUCAAAUGUUAAAGAUAGGAGCUCAACUCCUGAAAGCAUUUGAAACUGAUAAACUUGAGUAGUGGAGAGGAAAGUGGAAUUCCUAGUGUAGUGGUGAAAUACGUAGAUAUUAGGAGGAAUACCAGUAGCGAAGGCGACUUUCUGGAAACAAACUGACGCUGAGGUACGAAAGCGUGGGGAGCAAACAGG
rnacentral:rRNA from 1 species